rnacentral:rRNA from 1 species
AACGUAGUACCGAGCGUUAUCCGGAUUUACUGGGCGUAAAGCGUGUUCAGGCGGUCUGGCAAGUCGGGCAUGAAAUCUCUGGGCUCAACCCGGAGGGGUUGUCCGAUACUGCUGGGCUUGAGGGCAGCAGAGGGUGGUGGAAUUCCGGGUGUAGUGGUGAAAUGCGUAGAUAUCCGGAGGAACACCAGUGGCGAAGGCGGCCACCUGGGCUGUACCUGGACGCUCAAACACGAAAGCUAGGGGAAGCGAACGGG